rnacentral:rRNA from 1 species
AACGAAACACCUUAUUUGAUUUUCUUCGGAACUGAGGAUUUGGUGAUUGAGUGGCGGACGGGUGAGUAACGCGUGGGUAACCUGCCCUGUACAGGGGGAUAACAGUCAGAAAUGACUGCUAAUACCGCAUAAGACCACAGCACCACAUGGUGCAGGGGUAAAAACUCCGGUGGUACAGGAUGGACCCGCGUCUGAUUAGCUGGUUGGUGAGGUAACGGCUCACCAAGGCGACGAUCAGUAGCCGGCUUGAGAGAGUGAACGGCCACAUUGGGACUGAGACACGGCCCAAACUCCUACGGGAGGCAGCAGUGGGGAAUAUUGCACAAUGGGGGAAACCCUGAUGCAGCGACGCCGCGUGAGUGAAGAAGUAUCUCGGUAUGUAAAGCUCUAUCAGCAGGGAAGAAAAUGACGGUACCUGACUAGGAAGCCCCGGCUAACUACGUGCCAGCAGCCGCGGUAAUACGUAGGGGGCAAGCGUUAUCCGGAAUUACUGGGUGUAAAGGGUGCGUAGGUGGUAUGGCAAGUCAGAAGUGAAAACCCAGGGCUUAACUCUGGGACUGCUUUUGAAACUGUCAGACUGGAGUGCAGGAGAGGUAAGCGGAAUUCCUAGUGUAGCGGUGAAAUGCGUAGAUAUUAGGAG